rnacentral:tRNA from 10 species
GGCGGUGUGCCCGAGUGGCCAAUGGGAACGGACUGUAAAUCCGUCGGCUUAGCCUACCCAGGUUCGAAUCCUGGCGCCGCCA